GGUUCUAUGGUGUAAUGGUUAGCACUCUGGACUCUGAAUCCAGCGAACUGUGUUUGAAUCUCAGUAGGACCU
rnacentral:tRNA from 1 species